GGGCCCGUAGCUCAGCCAGGUAGAGGUUAAUAACGCCUAAAGCGAUGGGCUUUUAACCCAGAGGUCAGGGACGCCCCUCAAGUGGGUUCGAAGCCCACCGGGCCCG
rnacentral:tRNA from 1 species